AGAGUUUGAUCCUGGCUCAGGACGAACGCUGGCGGUGUGCUUCACACAUGCAAGUCGAACGAGGUAGCAAUACCUAGUGGCGGACGGGUGAGUAACGCGUGGGAAUCUGCCUUUAGAUGGGGGAUAACGAGCCGAAAGGUUCGCUAAUACCGCAUAUGCCGCAAGGUGAAAGGAGUAAUCCGUCUAAAGAUGAGCCCGCGUCCGAUUAGCUAGUUGGUGGGGUAAAGGCCUACCAAGGCGACGAUCGGUAGCUGGUCUGAGAGGAUGAUCAGCCGCAAUGGGACUGAGACACGGCCCAUACUCCUACGGGAGGCAGCAGUGGGGAAUUUUACGCAAUGGGGGAAACCCUGACGUAGCGACACCGCGUGAGCGAAGAAGCCCCUUGGGGUGUAAAGCUCUGUCAGCUGGAACGAAACAAAUGACGGUACCAGCAGAGGAAGCAUCGGCUAACUACGUGCCAGCAGCCGCGGUAAGACGUAGGAUGCGAGCGUUGUCCGGAUUUAUUGGGCGUAAAGAGUUCGUAGGUGGUUUGUUAAGUUUGAUGUUAAAGAUCGGGGCUCAACCUCGGGACAGCAUUGAAUACUGGCAGACUUGAGUAUGGUAGAGGCUAGUGGAAUUCCCAGUGUAGCGGUGAAAUGCGUAGA
rnacentral:rRNA from 1 species